rnacentral:rRNA from 1 species
UACAGAGGUCUCAAGCGUUGUUCGGAUUCAUUGGGCGUAAAGGGUGCGUAGGCGGCGCGGUAAGUCGGGGUGUGAAAUCUUGGAGCUUAACUCCGAAACUGCAUUCGAUACUGCCGUGCUUGAGGACUGGAGAGGAGACUGGAAUUUACGGUGUAGCGGUGAAAUGCGUAGAUAUCGUAAGGAAGACCAGUGGCGAAGGCGGGUCUCUGGACAGUUCCUGACGCUGAGGC